UUGAAGUGUUCACUUCAGCGGCACGUAUACUGAAACCAUGCUAAGAAGACUAGCAUGGCCACCAUGAAAGGAUGACGUGAAAAUUCAUGAAGCGUUACAUAUGUGU
rnacentral:snRNA from 1 species